rnacentral:tRNA from 1 species
GGAUUGUGGCUCAGUGGUAGUGCGCUCGCCUAGCACGUGUGAGGCCCUACGUUUGAUCCUCAGCACCA